UUUGAUGGAGAGCCGGGGCCUGGUGGCUGGCUGUCUGUCCUCAGAAGCGGUCAGCAUGCACACUUUCUUGUCGCUUUGGGAUGCUCGGCUGACUCCUGGAGGAUCCAAGUCUGGGGUCUGGACUCCCCUUCUCUUAUGGUGCUCGCUGCAGGGGUCCCUUCCUGAAUGCUCGUCUCCCUGGCUUCCAGCAGACCUCACGUUUGGCCGCCCACCCAGCCUGCUGAACUGCACCCCCAGGGAGCUUCUGAUUGCUAUCCAUCUGCCCGCCUCUUUACCAGACCUCAGGCCAGUCCACCGGGGCACCUAUGACCUGACGCCCUUCACCUUCCUCCAACAACAGGAGAAUUGCGAUCUGCCACUGUGAUGGCAAAGGGAGACAAAACAAAGCAGAAAAACAUAAUGUGGGCCAGGUGCCUGAACACCACUCAGAGAAUCCGAAGCUUCACAGAGCUGCCUUCCUUGAACCUCAUAGAACCACCCACCCAGCCAUCAACCAUCCAUCCAUCUCCUUGGGAAAUCAGACCAAGCACUCUCUGGAGGGCUGCGCUGCUGUGACUCCCUCUGUGGUCAGCCACCUGCUCCGGCUGACCUGGGUCAGUGCUAAGGAGUUAUCAGUAGGUAAGGAACUGAGAACCACCCAAAGACAGACCCGGGAGCACGGCCCAAAUGCUGUCACUCUUCCAACAGCAAUCAAUGUCUCGUGUUUAAUUAACCUUCCCUGAGUUUGCUGGGGGAUGAAAGCAGUCUUCUGGUGGUAGGAGAGCCACGUGUGUGCUCAAGGAUGUUUAAUAAAUUCUCCGCAA